GGAUCUCAUAUCUUAGCUCACUGCAACCUCUGUCUCCCAGAUUCAAGCGAUUCUCCUGCCUCAGCCUCCUGAGUAGCUGGGAUUACAGGCACCCACCAUCACACCCAGCUAUUUUUUGUGUUUUUAGUAGAGACGGGGUUUCACCAUGUUGCCAAGGCUGGUCUUGAACCCCUGACCUCAAGUGAUCCGCCUGCCUCAGCCUCUCAAAGUGCUGGGAUUACAGGCAUGAGCCACCGCCUCCGGCCUAAAGGCCCCAUUCUUGACUAUGUGAAUGUGACUUCUGACAGCUGAACUCGAGUAUUUCGGGCACUAAGAAGGAAGGACAAAGAUCCCUGGAGAACUCUCCUGUGGUGUCCUUGUUUUGAGUAGCAAUGGAGAUUCAUCUCAGCCAUCCCCUCAGGAAUACAGCUGUGUCAUCACAUCCCGUGGCAUCCUAAUAUGUCAUACUAAGCUGUAAACCAAUUAGGAAUGACUACUGACUGUGCUGACUCAUGGGAAGAG
rnacentral:lncRNA from 1 species